UCAAGAAAUAGUUUAAGGAGAAUUUUAGCUUUGGGUGUUAAAGGUGGGAUUAUGAUAUCUCUUUCUUG
rnacentral:tRNA from 1 species